rnacentral:rRNA from 1 species
UCUGGCGGUGGAUCACUCGGCUCGUGCGUCGAUGAAGCGCAGCCAGCUGCGUGAAUUAAUGUGAAUUGCAGGACACUGAACAUCGACAUCUUGAACACAUUGCGGCUGGGUCACUCGGAGCCACGCCUGUCU